UGUUCUGCACACGUUUGAAGUGUUAGGGCACUUCUAGUGGGCUGGUGUUCUCUGCGUCGAAGUCUACGAUAUUGUAGAGGCCAUAGCCGUUCCUCAAGAUCCUACAACAUCCAAACAUGCAAGUGGCGGGGGCGGUGGCAAAAGCAGUCUGAUUUAGAGCGUGAAAUGGAAUUUCCGCGCCUGGCCACGGUGAAGCCGCCCGCGGCACCUUGGGGAAGGCGGCCCGGCGGAGAAGGCUGCAGAAAUGUUCUCACGAGCUGGCGUAUUAUCGACGGAGUUUGACUGCUCUGGGUCUAUCCUGCAACACCGCCAUACUGAAUGUUCGGAUGUACAAAGAUUCAGUGACUUCAUGAGGAAGGAAGCAGCAAUUUCAUCUUUCUAAACUGUCGAUAUUGACUGUGAACCCUUGUGCAGAGGUAAACGAAUACGGAGCUAUCUAAGUUACUCCAACAUGGCCGAAUAUUUGUCCCUGACUCUUAAAAACAGCCAUGGCAAUCAAGUAAUUAGCAAUUUGAUCUGUAUGCGCACAUAUCCUUGGGGCCAGUUAAGAAAGAUCGCCAAUUAUAGGGGUCAUUUUACAGUUACACGAAUACCCUUUAUGACGUCGUUCGUGUGGAGGGACCCUUCGUGGAUUAAGGGUAGGUGUUUAGUAAUCCGGUAUCCACCAUUGCCAACUGAUGUUUUUUUAAAGAGCUCUAAUUUUCGUACGGUUUUCACUCUCCUUUAAGAACGUUUAUGAUGAUGAUGUCGCCGUUAGUCUUCAGAACAAUAGUGUUUCAGUCUGAGGUUAGCACGAUAGAUCAUUUGGUUCGCUUGUUCGAAGGGGAGUGAUUUACGAAAUAUGGCCUCUUCAGCUGGACGAGUAGUUAGCUCAUGCUCAACCUAAUGGGUGUACCUGAUUCCUGUAACGUGUUGUGUAGGAAUAAAAGCUGUAUCGGCAGGAUUUUUAUUUGUACUAACGUCGUUGCCUGCUCGCAGUAACAAUUAACAAAAUGAAGCCUUCUUUCUUCAUUUUGGUGUUCACUUUUUUCCAUGUUUUUCUAGAAGACAGACGACCAGUGGGUCAUCCGAAUACCAUCCGGAAUACCGAAUUCGACGUUGAUUGGCAACAGCUGGCAAAUUCGCCUCUAAGGACAACGGUUUUGCCGUUAAA